AGGACAAACGCUGGCGGCGUACCUAAGACAUGCAAGUCGAACGGGCGCGUCACCUUCGGGUGAUGAGCGAGUGGCGGAUGGGUGAGUAACGCGUAGGAACCUGUCAUCAAGUGGGGGAUACCGCUGGGAAACCGGCGCUAAUACCGCAUGUGGUCAGAGAUGAAGAAAGCAGCAAUGCGCUUGAUGAGGGGCCUGCGUCCGAUUAGCUAGUUGGUGGGGUAAUGGCCUACCAAGGCGACGAUCGGUAGCUGGUCUGAGAGGAUGGUCAGCCACACUGGGACUGAGACACGGCCCAGACUCCUACGGGAGGCAGCAGUUAGGAAAUUUUCACAAUGGGCGCAAGCCUGAUGGAGUAACGCCGCGUGGAGGAUGACGGCCUCGGUUGUAACUCCUUUCUGUGGAGAGUAGAGACGGUACCGACAGGAAGAAGCCGUCGGCUACUACGUGCCAGCAGCCGC
rnacentral:rRNA from 1 species